UACGAAGGGGGCUAGCGUUGCUCGGAAUCACUGGGCGUAAAGCGCACGUAGGCGGCUUUUUAAGUUAGAGGUGAAAUCCUGGAGCUCAACUCCAGAACUGCCUUUGAUACUGGAGAGCUUGAGUCCGGGAGAGGUGAGUGGAACUGCGAGUGUAGAGGUGAAAUUCGUAGAUAUUCGCAAGAACACCAGUGGCGAAGGCGGCUCACUGGCCCGGUACUGACGCUGAGGUGCGAAAGCGUGGGGAGCAAACAGG
rnacentral:rRNA from 1 species